UGCCCAGCAACUCCUAUCCCUACCUCCUCGUGGUACCGGCCGCAAACUAUACCUUAGGGAAGAUCGGGUAACCAACCUUGGUGGGAACUUUGGUCGUAGGCUGACAGGGAAGG
rnacentral:ribozyme from 1 species